rnacentral:lncRNA from 1 species
AUGGACAGUGAGCCCAGGGUCAGCCAACGUGUCCUGUCCAUCAGUCCCUGUGCCAUCAGCUCAUUUGUGUUCCUCUGUGCACUGGCACCAGGAAUAAAUGUGAAGAGAGUGUUGGAACCAGUUGAGAAUCCAUGUCCAGGUACCAGCUGGACCAUGUUACGCCUGUGUGGCUGGGGACCAGGGAGAUGGCAUAUCAGAGUGGGUAAAAGAACAGACCGGAGCCUGACUUCCUGGAUUCAAACCUCAGUCUCACCAACCAGUAAGUUAUUUCAUCUCUUUAUGUCUCAGUUUCCACCACUAGUAAAUGGGGUUGAUAAUACUACCUCAUGGACUCAUUAGGAGGAUUCAAUGAGCUGCAGUUUAUAAAGCACUAGGAACAGUAACUGGCACAGGAUAAACCAAUGUGUUUGCUAAUUAAAUGUUAGCUCAGCACACUGGCCUUGUCCAAGGUGCUGAUGCUCCUCAGGUCCCAGUUCUCCUGGGAAUCCAUGACUCGUGAGACUGGGAUGGCCCCAUUCUCUCUUUUAACAAAGCCAGGCACUCCUUGUGCCAUAUUUCCCCAUAAUGCCAAAACCAUGGUGGGGGCUCUAUAAAUUUAACUGCCUAGCUAGUAAUUCUAAUCUUGGCUCUGAUGCUCCCUGAUCUGAAUCUGCAUCUCAUUUAAAAUGGCAGAGUUGCAAUGUCUUUCCUUAUCUGUGAAGUGGGCAUGCCUCAAAUAUCACCCUGCCCUCUCACCUCUCUCCUUUGGUGGAGUAUUUUUACUACUGUGUGAUUGGAGACGGGGUCAGGGCUCAACGGCAACUACCAUGGGAGUUUGAGGAGUUGUGAUGCAAGAACAGAAAUUUAGCAAAGCCUGGGAAUGGGCUCAGAGUGGGCAGCAGGCAGGUGCCCUGGUGUUGGGCUGACGUGGCCUUCAAGUCUGCAGCAGGACCACUGUGGCCAGAGGCUGGGCUUGCAUGAGACCUCUUCUGUCCUCACUUUGAGUCACCCUAUCCUAGGUUGGGACUCUGGACUAGAACCUGGAGCUGCAGUGGGUGUGGGGGCCGCUCCCUGUAUAGUAGCCAUUCUCUGCUGCAGAAGCAAUUUAUUGGUGGCUCCUGGAUAUGUCCAGGCCAUGGUCUUUUCUGGGGCCUUCUCUGGGGAUGUGAGUCAGCAUAAGUGAGGCCAUUUUGUCAUGCUAAAUAGCCCCAGUUCAUCUUCUGCAUGACUACUCGUUGCUCUGCAUGUACUCUGAAAACAUUCACAUGCUCUCCUGAUUUAUGGCCUCAGCUUACGUAUGUACUACCCGAUAGCUUGAUAAAUUAAGACUUUUUUCUAUGAGUUUCCCUCCAGGAACAGGCUGAUCACAGGUGGGGAACACACCUACAAAGUGUCCAUCACAGCUGACAAAGGAAUGGAACAGUAAAAGACCCUGGAGUCCAUCAGGACUGAAGUAAACCCCCUCCUUACUCCCCAUUUUGCCUAUAUCUUCCUCAAGAUUCUGCAGUCCUUGAAGAUGGGUUUUUGAGACAUUAGUCUUCCAUCUUCCUGAUUGUGACAGCUAAUUGAAUUAAAUCUUCCUUUCUUGAUCCCUAAUUCGUUGUGAUUAAUUGACUUCUCUGGAGUGAUGUUAUAGGCCAGUCUCUGUGAGAGGAUGGAGAAUUGGAGGAAGCCUCAGCCUGGUCCAGGGUCACCCUUCCAGUGGCCGAGAAGAUACUCCAAAGUAAGGGUCACCUGCUAUUUGGUCCUGAAGUCCCACAUGGACAGCAUGUGAGGUUUGUACAAAACACAGCCCACCCGUUUGUGGAGUUGGUCAGUUCACUUUGAGUCAUUCAUCCAGUGAGUGUUUAUUGAGCCAACUACUGUGGUCAGACACUGAGCCAGGCCCUAGUGAUCCAGAGCUGAGGGAGACCCACAUGCUCUCUGCUGUGGGGGAGCCUACAGUUCAUGGAAGGGACUGGCAUUGAACAAAUAAACGCACAGGCAAUUUUCUAUCCA